GAUCCUCGGUAGUCUUGGCUCGAGCCUCAACAGUGGCUCGAGCCUCAACAGUGGCUUUUGCAGCAUUGGCCUCAUCUAGAUCUACUUCUCAACAGUGGCUCGAGCCUCAACAGUGGCUUUUGCAGCAUUGGCCUCAUCUAGAUCUACUUGAAACUUGUCUACAGACUCCGGGGUCUCCAUCGUGUGUUCUACCUCAAUAACCCUAGCCUUUAGUCGUGAGCACUCCUCUUAUAGGAGGUUUUUGUCUGUCUCCUGUGCUCCAUACUCUCUCCUCAGAGCCUUGUUCUACUCCUUGGCUUGGUACGCACACAAGGCACCCUCCAUCUCAGAAUGGAUGAUGUUGUCAUAUAAGUCAUCCGUCUCCACCGCGUUCAGCCGAUGGCAGUCCCCAAGCCUCAGGGCAUUAUUGACAAUGAGGAUGAACAAUAAGGGCUCCCCAAGAAGUGAGUUAGCCCGUGUCAGCGCCAGUGCCAGUUGUUGAAUGCCCCGCAACCAUGGAGCUCUGGU
rnacentral:lncRNA from 1 species